rnacentral:lncRNA from 1 species
CUUUGUGUUGGACCUAAUCCAAUUAGAUCAAUCCCCAGUUAAGAACAAAUUAAUUUAAAAUUAAUUUGAUCAGCUUAAGUUCUUUUUGGUUCUGACCUAAUCCAAUCAGGUCAAAACCCUGAUUGAGCCCAAACUUGAAUCCAAUUCAAUUUGGCUCAUCCUUAGUACAAUUACUCAAUCAAAUUGAGUUUAUUAGUAAUUUAAUUACUAAUUAAUCCUUCAAUAAUUGCUUUAAUUAUUUUAUAAGAUAAUUUGCCAAUCAAAUUGACCAAAUUACCCCCGAAUGAUUCUUAAUCAUUCAUCAGCUUUCUUGAUCAAUCAGGAAUCUUCUAUGCGUGUGACCUCAUAGGUUCGAACCUAAGCCGGUAGUAUAGGAACAAUUUCCUACACUAAUCGAUGUGACCAUCUAGCAAUGGUACCCGACGUCCGGAUAGGCCGAAUAUAUGUGAAGCAAAUAUUCUGGAACCCUGAACUAUGGUUACUGUAUAAUUCAAUCCCUUUGACUCCUAAUGCCAGGAUGACUUAGAGCUCACUGUCAACCCUAUAAUUAGUACAUCCAUUAUGUGAUUAACUUUAGAUAUCCCGUGACUCCUCACUGGGAUUACCCUGGCCAAGGUUUUGCUAAAUUAAUCACAAGACAUUAUCUUCUAUUUUCAGGAGGGGUCAAUUCCAUCUUGACUCACAACUGACUACGCAAGUACUUGACUGCACCCAGUGACCUUCUGUCACUGAAUUAGAAAUUCAGGUAGUCCGGUACCAAAGUACAGUGAGUUGCUUGCUAGUCACAGGUUGCGGUCUCAGGUCAAAGGGCCAAACUUAUACCCAUAUC